rnacentral:rRNA from 1 species
AGUGAACGCUGGCGGUAGGCCUAACACAUGCAAGUCGAACGGCAACACAGUAAGAGCUUGCUCUUACGGGUGGCGAGUGGCGGACGGGUGAGGAAUACAUCGGAAUCUACUUUUUCGUGGGGGAUAACGUAGGGAAACUUACGCUAAUACCGCAUACGACCUACGGGUGAAAGCAGGGGAUCUUCGGACCUUGCGCGAUUGAAUGAGCCGAUGUCGGAUUAGCUAGUUGGCGGGGUAAAGGCCCACCAAGGCGACGAUCCGUAGCUGGCCUGAGAGGAUGGUCAGCCACACUGGAACUGGGACACAGUCCAGACUCCUACGGGAGGCAGCAGUGGGGAAUAUUGGACAAAGGGCGCAAGCCUGAUCCAGCCAUACCGCGUGGGUGAAGAAGGCCUUCGGGUUGUAAAGCCCUUUUGUUGGGAAAGAAAAGCAGCAGGUUAAUACCCCGCUGUUCUGACGGUACCCAAAGAAUAAGCACCGGCUAACUUCGUG